rnacentral:rRNA from 1 species
AACGAACGCUGGCGGCAGGCCUAACACAUGCAAGUCGAGCGAAGCCUUCGGGCUUAGCGGCGGACGGGUGAGUAACGCGUGGGAACGUGCCCUUUGGUACGGAAUAGCCCCGGGAAACUGGGAGUAAUACCGUAUGUGGUCGAGAGACGAAAGAUUUAUCGCCAAAGGAUCGGCCCGCGUUGGAUUAGGUAGUUGGUGGGGUAAUGGCCUACCAAGCCGACGAUCCAUAGCUGGUUUGAGAGGAUGAUCAGCCACACUGGGACUGAGACACGGCCCAGACUCCUACGGGAGGCAGCAGUGGGGAAUCUUAGACAAUGGGGGAAACCCUGAUCUAGCCAUGCCGCGUGAUCGAUGAGGGCCUUAGGGUUGUAAAGAUCUUUCAGUGGGGAAGAUAAUGACUGUACCCACAGAAGAAGCCCCGGCUAACUCCGUGCCAGCAGCCGCCGUAAGAC